AUUGAACGCUGGCGGCAGGCCUAACACAUGCAAGUCGAGCGGAUGAAGGGAGCUUGCUCCUGGAUUCAGCGGCGGACGGGUGAGUAAUGCCUAGGAAUCUGCCUGGUAGUGGGGGAUAACGUCCGGAAACGGGCGCUAAUACCGCAUACGUCCUGAGGGAGAAAGUGGGGGAUCUUCGGACCUCACGCUAUCAGAUGAGCCUAGGUCGGAUUAGAUAGUUGGUGGGGUAAAGGCCUACCAAGGCGACGAUCCGUAACUGGUCUGAGAGGAUGAUCAGUCACACUGGAACUGAGACACGGUCAAGACUCCUACGGGAGGCAGCAGUGGGGAAUAUUGGACAAUGGGCGAAAGCCUGAUCCAGCCAUGCCGCGUGUGUGAAGAAGGUCUUCGGAUUGUAAAGCACUUUAAGUUGGGAGGAAGGGCAGUAAGUUAAUACCUUGCUGUUUUGACGUUACCAACAGAAUAAGCACCGGCUAACUUCGUG
rnacentral:rRNA from 1 species